GACCUCAUAUCAGACAAGAUUACCCGCUAAAUUUAAGCAUAUUAUUAAGCGGAGGAAAAGAAAGCAAAAGCGAUUUCCCAAGUAACGGCGAGUGAACAGGAAGAAGCCUAGCGCUUAGGCUCAAUGGGAUGGUCACCAGCAAUGUUGGCCGUCGUUUUCGAAAAGCCAUUGAGCGGUGCAGCGUUACAAACUGCGAUGUUUAGUAUUACCAUUGGUAGUAAGUAAAAUUGCUACUCCUAGCUUAGCAUGCAAGUUCCAUUGACUUGGACUAAUUGCAAAUGACUUGGGUUCUGGGUAAAACUGGGGCCCUUGUUGAGCCAUAGUGGGUGAAAGCCCUAUACCGUGCAAGCAUUGGUAAUACGAAUCGUAGCUGGUGUCUGUAAAGGCAUCAACUUUGUUAGAGUCGAGUUGCUUGAGAGUGCAACUUAAAGUGGGAGGUAAACUACUCCUAAGGCUAUGUAAUACCGCUACGACACCGAUAGCAAACAAGUACCGUGAGGGAAAGUUG
rnacentral:rRNA from 2 species